AGCAGCCGCGGUAAUUCCAGCUCCAAUAGCGUAUAUUAAAGUUGUUGCAGUUAAAAAGCUCGUAGUUGAAUUUCGGGGUUAGUAGGUUGGUCAUGCCUCUGGUAUGUACUGGUCCCACCGAUUCCUCCUUCCUGAUGAACUGUAAUGCCAUUAAUUUGGUGUUGCAGGGAAUCUGGACUGUUACUUUGAAAAAUUAGAGUGUUUAAAGCAGGCUAACGCCUGAAUACAUUAGCAUGGAAUAAUGAAAUAGGACGUUCGAUCCUAUUUUGUUGGUUUCUAGGAUUGACGUAAUGAUUAAUAGGGAUAGUUGGGGGCAUUAGUAUUCAAUUGUCAGAGGUGAAAUUCUUGGAUUUAUUGAAGACUAACUACUGCGAAAGCAUUUGCCAAGGAUGUUUUCAUUAAUCAAGAACGAAAGUUAGGGGAUCGAAGACGAUCAGAUACCGUCGUAGUCUUAACCAUAAACUAUGCCGACUAGGGAUCGGAUGAUGUUAAUUUUUUAAAUGACUCAUUCGGCGCCCG
rnacentral:rRNA from 1 species